rnacentral:lncRNA from 1 species
AAACAAUCCCAAAAGCCAAUUGCAUACUUUCCUUUCCUUUCACAACUUUACAUUCAGGUCCAUACACGCCUUCCAUUCCUCAAACAUACACCAAAACCAGAAGCUACUCAAAUUCACAACUUCAUUUCCAAUCCAAACCUGUUCUUCAUUCUCCAUUCCACCAUUUCUUUGACAAUUCCUCCAAGCCAAGUCUCAACACCCUCUCCCUCUCUCUCUCUCUCUAAAAUAGUCAACUCCCUUCAUUUCCUCCCUCCUUCAACCCAAUCCCAACAAUCUCCACGUGUAUUAUGCCUAGUUGAUUCAAAUAAUUGAAAACAGCCUCCCUUCACCAUGUUGAAAAAACUCAAAAGAAGAGUCAAAACCAUAAUCACCAAGAAGUUCAAAAAACCCAAAAAACCCUCCACUCCCCCAACACCGUCUCUCUCCCCUCCAUCGCCCACCAUGUCACCGCCGCCGCCGCCGCCGCCAGCGGAAGACACCCUCAGACGACGGAGGCCACCCAUUCCUGUUCCCUAA